rnacentral:rRNA from 1 species
AUACGUAUGGGGCGAGCGUUAUCCGGAUUCAUUGGGCGUAAAGCGCGCGUAGGCGGCCUGCUAUGUCAGGUGUGAAAGCCGGGGGCUUAACCCGCGGAUUGCAUUUGAAACUGGCAGGCUUGAGUCUGGUAGAGGAAAGUGGAAUUCCUAGUGUAGCGGUGAAAUGCGCAGAUAUUAGGAGGAACACCAGUGGCGAAGGCGGCUUUCUGGGCCACGACUGACGCUAAGGCGCGAAAGCUAGGGGAGCAAACAGGAUUAGAUACCCUGGUAGUCCUAGCCGUAAACGAUGGGCACUAGGUGUGGGGGAUCAUUGACAUCUUCCGUGCCGGAGCUAACGCAUUAAGUGCCCCGCCUGGGGAGUACGGCCGCAAGGCUAAA